UCAGUGAAUCAUCGAAUCUUUGAACGCACAUUGCGCCCGCCAGUAUUCUGGCGGGCAUGCCUGUCCGAGCGUCAUUUCAACCCUCAGAGCCCACCGCUUGCGGUGCGGCGCUGGUGUUGGG
rnacentral:rRNA from 1 species